rnacentral:rRNA from 1 species
AGACCCGAAACCCGGUGAUCUAGCCAUGGGCAGGUUGAAGGUUGGGUAACACUAACUGGAGGACCGAACCGACUAAUGUUGAAAAAUUAGCGGAUGACUUGUGGCUGGGGGUGAAAGGCCAAUCAAACCGGGAGAUAGCUGGUUCUCCCCGAAAGCUAUUUAGGUAGCGCCUCGUGAAUUCAUCUCCGGGGGUAGAGCACUGUUUCGGCAAGGGGGUCAUCCCGACUUACCAACCCGAUGCAAACUGCGAAUACCGGAGAAUGUUAUCACGGGAGACACACGGCGGGUGCUAACGUCCGUCG